rnacentral:rRNA from 1 species
UACGUAGGUCCCGAGCGUUGUCCGGAUUUAUUGGGCGUAAAGCGAGCGCAGGUGGUUUAUUAAGUCUGGUGUAAAAGGCAGUGGCUCAACCAUUGUAUGCAUUGGAAACUGGUAGACUUGAGUGCAGGAGAGGAGAGUGGAAUUCCAUGUGUAGCGGUGAAAUGCGUAGAUAUAUGGAGGAACACCGGUGGCGAAAGCGGCCCUCUGGCCUGUAACUGACACUGAGGCGCGAAAGCGUGGGGAGCAAACAGG